AGUGGGAUUUGAGAACGAACUUGAUAGAAUUUCUAUAGACACAAAUUUUGGAAGAUUUGAGUGGAUAAUGACCUUGCAAGAGCUAGGCAAAGUUGAUGUUAUUUUUAAUGACUCUAGUUUUUAGAAAAUAAAAUAGGGUUGAUAUUUUUGGGUAAUUUUAAGAGUUUGGUGACAAAUCUAGAAGUGAAUUUUUUUUGGAUUUGUGGAUGUAGUUGUGCUUGAUAUGUGUUGUGAAUUUAGAUUUGAUUGAAUGGUUAGAUUAAAAAGUAUGAAGGUUUUUGUGGAUUAUACUCUCAGAAUUUAGGGUUUUAAAAACUAUUGAUAUUUUCUUAGAUAUUUGUCAAUCCGCCAAUUAGAUUGAGGCAAUUUUUUUUAUAAGGGUAGGCAGCUUGAUUUUCACUAAGUUUGUAAAGAUUAGAAGCAAAAUAAUAAUUCAAUCAAGAGUAAUUGGCUCUGGGAGAUUGGCAUCAAGGUCAAAGAAGGAAAUCGGCAUACGUACAAGCAUAUUUUUGAAAUUACUGUCUAUUUGGUAAUUUUGAUCAUUUUUAAAUUUUUUUGUACUUGUUGUCAACUUAAUUGUUAAGAGGUGUGUAAAAUUUGAGUUAAAAUGAAUAGUUCAUUCAUUAAUUAUUGAAGUUUAAAUCUGCUAUAGGAAUUACUUGGAAUUGAUUGGGAUUUAGUUUAAGAUUUGUUUAGGGUUUGUUUAGGAUUUGAUUAAGAUAUGAUUAGGAUUUGACUAUGGUUUGACUAGGAUUUUUCUAAAGUUUGAUUACGAUUAGGAUUUGGUUAGACUUAGGAUUUGGUUUGGUUUAAGGUUUGAUUUGGAUUUCUUUAGAAUU
rnacentral:lncRNA from 1 species